CUACGGGGCGCUGCAGUGGGGAAUAUUGCACAAUGGGCGCAAGCCUGAUGCAGCCAUGCCGCGUGUAUGAAGAAGGCCUUCGGGUUGUAAAGUACUUUCAGCGGGGAGGAAGGGAGUAAAGUUAAUACCUUUGCUCAUUGACGUUACCCGCAGAAGAAGCACCGGCUAACUCCGUGCCAGCAGCCGCGGUAAUACGGAGGGUGCAAGCGUUAAUCGGAAUUACUGGGCGUAAAGCGCACGCAGGCGGUCUGUUAAGUCAGAUGUGAAAUCCCCGGGCUCAACCUGGGAACUGCAUCUGAUACUGGCAGGCUUGAGUCUCGUAGAGGGGGGUAGAAUUCCAGGUGUAGCGGUGAAAUGCGUAGAGAUCUGGAGGAAUACCGGUGGCGAAGGCGGCCCCCUGGACGAAGACUGACGCUCAGGUGCGAAAGCGUGGGGAGCAAACAGGAUUAGAUACCCGCGUAGUC
rnacentral:rRNA from 1 species